GGAGGCUUCAAGGAGGAGAGCUCCCUGGGAUGCCUGCAAGGGAUGGGUGAGGAAAGGACCCCUCUUCCUGCCCCAAAAUGAACACCAAAAUAUCACUGGAAAAUUGCACCUCAGAUCCAGGGGCUGUGUGAGGCCUGAUCCAGCUGCGUCCCCCCUUGCACUGGGGCAGCCGUUCUCACCCGCCUCUUGGAUGGGCACCCGGUGUUGGGCUGUGUUCCCAGCGCCUAAAAACAGUGCUGGCGCUGCACAUGUAUUUUUUUAUAGUUGUUUAUACCAGGUGUGUGCUUCAGCAUUGGGGGCUUUAAUUACAAGGAGGAAGAAAUGCGCUCGGUGGUUUUGCAUUACAGAUUGGAGUGUAAACCUCAAAUAAAUCAUGCGGAAGCAGUUGACAGUGAGCAGAGGCUGUCGCGGGGAGAAAGCCAGGCCACGGCAGCUUUCCUGCAGCCCUGUCCCCAAGCAGCGAGCGUGCUGCAGGGCCCCCUGCCCACCGUGCUGCCUACAUGGGCAGCCUGGAGGUUUCUGGGCUGCUCCCAGUGCAGCGGCACUGUGCAGUGCCAUGCAGUGCUGUGCAAUGCUGUGCAGCACCAUGCAGUGCUGUGCAAUGCCAUGCAGCGCUGUGCAAUGUCGUGCAGCACUGUGCAAUGUCGUGCAGCACUGUGCAAUGUCAUGCAGCACAGCGCGAUGUUGUGCUGCACUGUGCAAAGUGGUGCAGUGCUGUGCAAAGUUGUGCAGCACCAUGCGAUGUCGUGCAGCGCUGUGCAAAGCUGUGCAGUGCUAUGCAAAGUCGUGCAGCAGCAUGCGAUGCCGUGAGGCACUGUGCAAUGUCGUUCAGCACUGUGCAAAGUCAUGCGGCACUGUGCAAAGUCAUGCAGUGCUGUGCGAUGCCGGGCAGCACCGUGCACCUCUUGCAUUGCAGCACCAGGGCUGCCCACCCUCCGCCCAGGGACCCGGUGCCCUGUGCACGACCGGACUUCUCCGCUGCCCCGUCCCCGUCCCCUGCCCCCAGCCAGGCUCUCGCCGCGGCUCCCUUCUGGUUUUCAUUACCCUCCUCCGAGCUGAACACGAACAGCCUAAUUUGGAAUAACAGCCGAGUGAGUGCGAAGGGGAAAAAUCCUGCACUCUCUCUUUUCCUGAGCUAAUCCCCUGACAAAUUCUGCGCAGCCCUGGCUGUGGUCUUGUUCCAGAGAUGCCCCUGAUUAAAAUGGAAAUACUCCCCGAUCCUCUCCCUUAAAGGAGAAGCUUCCUUCUGUUUAUAAAGCUUUCCAAAGGGGGGUUUAUGAUUUUAUUUUAAUGGCUGGCCUUCCCUAGGAAUGUGGCAGCCGGCUCAAUAGCUGCAGGAAACAUUGCUGCCCAUAAACCCCCUUCAUUCAGCGCUCCCUGCCUGACAUUGUCAUGAAACGAAAAUAUUCCUGAUGCUUAUCAGAGGCCCACAUCAAAGCGCUCAGGUCAUAAAUCUCCUGGGGACUGUGCUGCAGACUCCAAAUAAAAGCAGCUCCCUGGGCUGGGGGUGUCCCCUCUGUGUCCCAGCCCUUCCCCCCUUCCCCCCCUCCCUCCCUCCCAGUGCUGGGCUUUGCACCAGACCUCAGCAGGGCUCCCCCACCCCAGCCACAGGGCUGGCAAAAAUCCCCCUUAUUUCAUCCCCAGCCGGGGCUUAAUCAAAGUUGGAAAAAAAUCAGGUGUGUGCGUGCGUGGGUGGAGAAGGCUCUGCAAAAAGUGUGCGUGGUGGAAGAGCUGUGGUGCUGCUCCCCAGCUGGUUUUGGGUGCUGGAGCGCGCCCAGGCGCAUGGCUCAGGGUGACCCUGCUGUCCCCAGGCCUGAGGAGGCUGACAGCGCGAUAUGCAGCUUGCCUAGCUUUUGUUGCAAACUGGAGUCGGGAGUAUUCCCGCAGAUCAUUUAGAUUCGGGUAAAUCAGCAUUUUGUGCUCCCAGGAGGAUAUUUCCCACCAGUUGGGCUGUGGGGUCACCUCCAGGAACGGGAGCGCUGCUCUCAGCUGGGGAUCGGCUGCUCCGUGAAGACCUUGAGUGAUGGAUACUCUGUCUCACAGGUGAGCGCAGCCCCGUGCCAUGCCGGGCUGUGGCUGAGCCGUGCUGCUGGGGCUCCUGGCUCCUGCCCCAGCCUCCCCUGCCUGUGGCAUGGGCCAGGAGGGGUCCACGGGCAGCAGAAGCCCCGUGGGACGGCGAGCACGGGCAGCACCAGCAGCCACGAGCCGACGGCCCCGGACGGACAUGAUCCCGCCAGUGAGACCUGUUGGCAAAGAAGAGGAACCAUUCCCUCGCUAGGCUGUGUGCCUGGCCGAGCGGAGGCUGCAGCCCGUCCCCACAGCGAGAUGCAUGGAGCGGGCGAUGCUCGGCACCAGCACCGGCACCCAGCGGGGACCAGGCCGGGGGAGCAACAUCCCCUUUCAUAGGGAAAGUCAGGGCAGAUGGGGAGGAUCAAACACACCUCUGCAGCCCCGGGUUUUUAGCCUUCAGGAAUCAAAUUUUUGAGCUUGCCUGAAUGAAUGCUGGAAACCACUUAAAAUUAAAGAGGGGGGAGAAGAAGAAGAGAAGUCUCCCACAUUCCCACGAUGCCAGGGGCUGGGGAUUGAACGCGACACCACGUGUCACAGGAGUGGCAAUAGCAUCUCCGGAACCGGGACCGCUGCGGAAAUCAAAGCCCAGCGUGCUCCUCCGAGUCAGGAGCUGCGGGCAACUGAAAAUAUCGCCCGCAGAGGACCUCUGGAACAAGGCGCUGCUUUCUUCUCCAAAGCAAGUUCCCUGCUCUUGCGUGUCCUGGGCGCUGCACAAAGGGGCUUUGAUGGGAGCCCUGGUGAGCUGCCGGCUCCGCGCACGAGGGAAAUGGAUCUGUGCGGGACACCACGGAAAGGGCUGAGGCUGAUGUAACAUCGUGAGACUCCUGGGAGCAUGCAUGAUGUUGGGCAGGAAGCGUUUGGGGAGGCUGAGCAGGGUCACUGUGUGACGCCAGCUGUGUCAAGGAAGCGUUGGGACACGGCUGGGCACUUUGCUGGGCAAGGGCCGAGUUUCUCCAUGUGCCCAAGCUGCUCGCGCAGCCUUGGAGCAAGCGGAGCCUGGGGGAGCCGAAUGGGCCAAGCCUCCCCUGCUGCCUGCCUCAGGUUGUGUCUUCGCCUGUUUCCGCUGAACAGAUAGUAAGUACCCUGCUAUCUUUCACUGAAACAUCAUGUCCAAUUUAUCCCUUGAUUAAACCCAUAUUUUGCUUGGCUAUAUGUCAAAUAUAAGAGGGCCGCACUCAAGUGAACUAAUCUUGGUUUACUUGCCAGUAGGUAAUUUGAUAGACAAUUUGGCAGGCAUCCACUCUAGAAUUAAGCAAACCUGAGCAAUAAAGAUGUAGAAAAACAAUCCUGAAAAGCCAUAAUGAGCCGUCUAGUUUCAUUCAAUAGCAACUUGUUCCACUUUCG